rnacentral:rRNA from 1 species
UUCCGUAGGUGAACCUGCGGAGGGAUCAUUACCGAGUUUACAACUCCCAAACCCCUGUGAACAUACCUAUACGUUGCCUCGGCGGAUCAGCCCGCGCCCCGUAAAACGGGACGGCCCGCCCGAGGACCCCUAAACUCUGUUUUUAGUGGAACUUCUGAGUAAAACAAACAAAUAAAUCAAAACUUUCAACAACGGAUCUCUUGGUUCUGGCAUCGAUGAAGAACGCAGCAAAAUGCGAUAAGUAAUGUGAAUUGCAGAAUUCAGUGAAUCAUCGAAUCUUUGAACGCACAUUGCGCCCGCCAGUAUUCUGGCGGGCAUGCCUGUUCGAGCGUCAUUUCAACCCUCAAGCUCAGCUUGGUGUUGGGACUCGCGGUAACCCGCGUUCCCCAAAUCGAUUGGCGGUCACGUCGAGCUUCCAUAGCGUAGUAAUCAUACACCUCGUUACUGGUAAUCGUCGCGGCCACGCCGUAAAACCCCAACUUCUGAAUGUUGACCUCGGAUCAGGUAGGAAUACCCGCUGAACUUACGCCCCCCCAAUAAGCGGAGGAAAGG